CGCUUUCAAAUUCAAUGUUAUACACAUGUUUGCAUACAUUUCAAAUACAUGUUGAAUGCGCAUGUCCAAUAUCCUGAUGACAAAAAAUACUGAAUAAAAUGGAUUUUGAAAAUUUAAAAUAUAUAUUCCUAAAUUGAAUAGAAAAUGAAAACAAAACAAAAAAAAAUAAAGAAAUACAAGCAAAGAAACAUGUGCGCUGAUAAAUUACAAAAUUAUUCAUCGAAAAAUGCCCUGAUGGGGCUCACAGCUUAAAUGAAUCAGAGCACUUUUCACGCUUAAGUUUAAUAUCUCCUUAACGAUCUAACCUAUCACUAAAAAUCAAAUUAAUACUAAUAGUCGUAAAUAUACGACUUUUACGAAGCUUAAACAAAACCAACCUCAUUUAGACCUCAAUAAAUAUUUUUGUAAAAAAGUUUUAACAAGUCGCAACAUAAAUUUAUUUCUUCUUUUUCUUGUUUUUAUUUUAUAACCUCAGCAGCGCUGAGUCCCCUCGUCCUUCCUGUUGAUCGUGGGAGUAAAAGAACUGCUGCGGGAAGCAAGCGAAUUGCGGAUCUCGUCAGAGAUAUAAUGGCACCAGACCAGAUAGGUAAGACUAUCACAUCAUUGCAACCCUACAAAUCUCCAGGGCCGGAUGACAUAAGAGCAAACCAACUUAGCUGCAAGUAGCGUGUACUGAUCUACUGGUAGGUACACACCCUACGUAGGGGUUAUAUCAAAUGUAGCCCUUCAACUGAGGGGAGUGAAUACAAAGUCACGGACUAUGCCGUCGAUGGUGAAGAUGUGAAAACCUCCGUAAAGUUCAUCGAGCAGUAUUUCUCGGAGUCAUCGGAUCUUCGAAAUGCACCCCUAGGCAGACCUGAAGUCCUUUUCGACCCACAUAUCCCUGCCCUGACUAGUGCAUGUAUUCCAAGGCUGAGAUAUGUACCGUUAAAUUCAAGAAACAUAUAAUUCGAUAACCUCGACUUUCAGGUAUAUAUUAAUGCUAUCAUCACACUAGACUCGCUAAUCUCUGCUUCUAGAAGGCUACACCGAUGAAAUAAUUGGCUCCGUCCAUAGAAACGAAGACUGAAGACACCGUUACUACUUCAGAGUUAUCCAAACCUUGGUUGAGCAGACAAUCUAUACCAUCCUAACAAAAAAGUAAAAUUUGUAUUGCAUGAACCAAAAAAAAAAUGAAAUCAACAAAACACUAAUUAAGUUUGAAGUCACAAACCUGCUGCAAAGCGACUUGUUUAACCUGCUAAAAGAAGAUGUAUUUUAGAUCACUA